GGCGACCUACGCUGAGUUUAUCAGUGAGCUGAAGCUUGGCAACUUUAUUUGAAAACAACGUAGCUCUUGGCUCUAUUACUUUUCGCUUGGACACUCUGACAAAACAUUUGUUUCAGUCAAAAGCAAACCUGGAUAAAUGUCGACUGUCUGUUUUUUAUAUAUAAAAUAUGUUUAUAUAUUUUGGAGGAAGCGGCCGUUGAAGUUAGCUUCCGAUUGUAGCUUCCAGAGUUCUCCGGAAGUGACUCAGACGAAGCAGAGAAUCCUCCAUUGGACGAGCCGUCUGGACAUUUGGCCGGAGAUCACUGCCAUGCUGAGAACUCCCUUGAUGGGAUUUUGGAUUGGAAGAUGGUGGAAGGUGUUGAAUUGGAGUUGUUGCUGAAACCAACUUAAAGCAAAAAAAAUGUCACAGAAAUGGGACCUGAGCCUGGGAACCAGCAGGAGGAGAGUUCACUUUAAUAGGACUUGUACAGGUGUUUGGACCAAGCUUUAGUUCUCAGCUAGAGAUCCUCAUUUUGGCUCAACAAAACAUCUGUACAGUGAAGAUUUCCUGGUUUGCUCAGCAAAUGCAAACUUCUCCACAUCAUCGUUCUACCUUAAUGCUUAUCAAUGGUACCUUCUCGCCGCAUCCCAGCUGCCUGCACGCCCCAGCAAUCUCGCAUAAACUCACCUGUCUUGUAAUCCUGAAAUCAAGCUGCCCGGCAUGUAUUGUGCUUGGUUUUCUUUGUCCUCUAUUGUCGUAACCAACCUAUUUGGUUGGCUUAUUGAGUUCAUUUUCUAUUAAAACUAGAUGUCGUCACACA